UCCUGUUCCCUUGCUGACACAGAGGAGUGUUCCUGCUGGCAAUGAUCUAAUCAUAGUGCAGUAAGAAACAUGGCAGUUUGAUAAAACAUGGUGGAGACAGCGGCUGAAAUGGAAGCAUAUGUUCUAGAAGACAUUCUUGAGGUAGGGCUAGGUUUGUAAAUGAAAUGAAAGUUGAAAUCUGAACAAAGAAAUCUUAUCUGCCGGAAUUAUUUUACAGAUGAAUAGAUUAGAGGAGAGAGCAAAGAGAGGCAGAGCAUAAAAGCAAGAUACGGUCAGACCUUAUUCCGUGUGAGAAUGUGGCAGUCUAGUUCACAUGAUUACUAAAUAAGUCUAGAAUUAAUUUGUUUAAACUUAAUGUUUUGUAAAUUGUAGAUAUAUGUUUGAUAGGGGGAAAAAAGAAAGAAGGAAAGGGCUUUGGACUUAAUAAAAAGCCUUGUGCUGGUGGUGACCUUUAGAUUAACUCAUUAGAAGGUGGGGUCUGCAAAGCAGCUUUGAGUAGGUUUAGUAUCAUAUGUCUUAGAAUUCAUUUACAUAUCUAAGCCCACAACUCUUGCUUGCAGUUAACUAUUAAAAACAGCUGCUUAUUUUAGUUUCUAGGGUAAAAUUAAGCAUAUAUAUCAAUCUAUUUGCCUAAUUUAGCUGGUACAUCUGGUUCUAGGUUUUUCAUGUGAC
rnacentral:lncRNA from 1 species